CUACGGGUGGCUGCAGUGAGGAAUAUUGCACAAUGGGGGGAACCCUGAUGCAGCAACGCCGCGUGGAGGAUGACGCAUUUCGGUGUGUAAACUCCUUUUAUAUGUCAAGAAAAUGACGGUAGCAUAUGAAUAAGCACCGGCUAACUCCGUGCCAGCAGCCGCGGUAAUACGGAGGGUGCAAGCGUUACUCGGAAUCACUGGGCGUAAAGGACGCGUAGGCGGGUUGGAAAGUCAGGUGUGAAAUCCUACAGCUUAACUGUAGAACUGCACUUGAAACUUCUAAUCUAGAGUAUGGGAGGGGGAGGUGGAAUUAGUGGUGUAGGGGUAAAAGCCGUAGAUAUCACUAGGAAUACCUAAAGCGAAGGCGAUCUCCUGGAACAUUACUGACGCUAAGGCGUGAAAGCGUGGGGAGCAAACAGGAUUAGAUACCCUCGUAGUC
rnacentral:rRNA from 1 species